rnacentral:rRNA from 1 species
GACAGAGGGUGCAAGCGUUAAUCGGAAUUAUUGGGCGUAAAGCGCGCGUAGGUGGAUUGGUAAGUUGGAUGUGAAAUCCCUGGGCUUAACCUGGGAACUGCAUUCAAUACUGCUAAUCUAGAGUACAGUAGAGGGAAGUGGAAUUUCCGGUGUAGCAGUGAAAUGCGUAGAUAUCGGAAGGAACAUCAGUGGCGAAGGCGACUUCCUGGGCUGAUACUGACACUGAGGCGCGAAAGCGUGGGGAGCAAACAGG